rnacentral:lncRNA from 1 species
GGCGAAAGGAGGAGAGUUGGAUAUUGAAUUCAACAGAGUGGCCAGGGAUUGAGUCAAGUGUGCCUACGUCAACAAACCCCACUACAAGUUCUGGAAACUAAACCAGAUUAUGCUGGUUGGGAAUACUCUGUUGUUGCACAGCAAUGUGCCUGGAAGGUAGUGAGUCCUGAGGAUAAGGAAGCUUAAUGUUUGGGAUCCUCCCAGACGUUUACCCUGUGUACAUCUCCCUUUGGCAGAUUGGAGAUUUUACAGAAUGCUUACACUGAUGGAAAUAAUCCAUUAGAGGGAAAACACAGAUGAGGAGGACUACAAAAAGCAACAAAAUCUUGACGAAUGAGGUACCAAGUACUUAUUCCAUGGCUGAGAUUAAAAAUAGAAGCUACCCUGUAUUGAAUGUCUCAGACGUGUU